GCAGCGCAAUGGAUAGCGCGUUGGACUUCUAAUCCAAAGGUCAUGGGUUCGAAUUUCCCGUGAUAUGGCCU